GAUGAAGAACGUAGCGAAAUGCGAUAAGUAAUGCGAAUUGCAGAAUUUCCGUGAGUCAUCGAAUCUUUGAACGCACAUUGCGCCCAUUGGUAUUCCGAUGGGCAUGCCUGUUCGAGCGUCAUUACAACCCUCAGGCCCCCGGGCCUGGCGUUGGGGAUCGGCGGAGCCCCCCGUGGGCACACGCUGUCCCCCAAAUACAGUGGCGGUCCCGCCGCAGCUUCCAUCGCGUAGUAGCUAACACCUCGCGACUGGAGAGCGGCGCGGCCACGCCGUAAAACACCCAACUCUUCUGAAGUUGACCUCGAAUCAGGUAGGAAUACCCGCUGAACUUAAGCAUAUCAAUAAGCGGAGGA
rnacentral:misc_RNA from 1 species